AGCUCCAGUAGCGUAUAUUAAUGUUGUUGCAGUUAAAAAGCUCGUAGUUGGAUUUCUAGCCGACAUGCGUGGUCCGCUUCGCUUAGCGUCGUGAGUACCGCAGCGUGUCGUCUAUCCUAUUCGUUUGGCCCUCGCCUUUGGUGGGGUGUCCGACGGAUUCUUUUACUUUGAAAAAAUUAGAGUGUUUAAAGCAGGCGUUUUCGCCUUGAAUACAUUAGCAUGGAAUAAUAACAUAGGACUUCGGUCUUUCUAUUUUGUUGGUUUCUGGAACUGAAGUAAUGAUUGAUAGGGAUAGUUGGGGGUGCUAGUAUUUAGCGGCCAGAGGUGAAAUUCUCGGAUUCGCUAAAGACUAACUUAUGCGAAAGCAUUCACCAAGGAUGUCUUCUUUA
rnacentral:rRNA from 1 species